rnacentral:tRNA from 1 species
CUCUCGGUAGCCAAGUUGGUCUAAGGCGCAAGACUGUAAAUCUUNAGAUCGGGCGUUCGACUCGCCCCCGGGAGA